rnacentral:misc_RNA from 1 species
AACCUAGCACACCUGCGGUGUGUACCUGCGGAGGGAUCAUUACCGAGUUUACAAACUCCCAACCCUUUGUGAACCUUACCAUAUUGUUGCUUCGGCGGGACCGCCCCGGCGCCUUCGGGCCCGGAACCAGGCGCCCGCCGGAGGCCCCAAACUCUUAUGUCUUUAGUGGUUUUCUCCUCUGAGUGACACAUAAACAAAUAAAUAAAAACUUUUAACAACGGAUCUCAGAUCGGAAGAGCA